rnacentral:rRNA from 1 species
CUACGGGUGGCACCAGUAGGGAAUAUUGCACAAUGGACGAAAGUCUGAUGCAGCAACGCCGCGUGUGCGAUGAAGGCCUUCGGGUUGUAAAGCACUUUUCUGAGGGAAGAGGAAGGACGGUACCUCAGGAAUAAGUCUCGGCUAACUACGUGCCAGCAGCCGCGGUAACACGUAGGAGGCAAGCGUUAUCCGGAUUUACUGGGCGUAAAGUGCGUGCAGGCGGUUCGGUAAGUUGGAUGUGAAAGCUCCUGGCUCAACUGGGAGAUGCCGUUCAAUACUGCCGGACUCGAGGACGGUAGAGGGAGGUGGAAUUCCCGGUGUAGUGGUGAAAUGCGUAGAUAUCGGGAGGAACACCAGUGGCGAAAGCGGCCUCCUAGGCCGUUCCUGACGCUAAGACGCGAAAGCAUGGGUAGCGAACGGGAUUAGAUACCCUAGUAGUC